GAUGAAGAACGCAGCGAAAUGCGAUAAGUAAUGUGAAUUGCAGAAUUCAGUGAAUCAUCGAAUCUUUGAACGCACAUUGCGCCCGCCAGUAUUCUGGCGGGCAUGCCUGUUCGAGCGUCAUUACAACCCUCAGGCCCCCGGGCCUGGCGUUGGGGAUCGGCGGAAGCCCCCUGCGGGCACAACGCCGUCCCCCAAAUACAGUGGCGGUCCCGCCGCAGCUUCCAUUGCGUAGUAGCUAACACCUCGCAACUGGAGAGCGGCGCGGCCACGCCGUAAAACACCCAACUUCUGAAUGUUGACCUCGAAUCAGGUAGGAAUACCCGCUGAACUUAAGCAUAUCAAUAAGAGGA
rnacentral:misc_RNA from 1 species